CCCUGAGGGAGGCGCUGCGGAGCCGAGCGGAGCCUUUUCCCCGGGGAGCGGGGAGAGCGAGGGGAGGUGCGGCAGCCCAGCUCCCUCUGGGGGCGGGUCUGAGAGGGGCUGGAAAUGAGCGAAGGGGGUGUCCUCCUCUGGCCUUCAAACCUUUGAAACACCAGCUGCACAUCCUGCUUCUUGAAAGGGAUCCCAGAAGCCACUGGCAGGAAGAUUAAGAAAGUUCUACCACAAGUUACAUGAGCUGCACAAAUCACUUCUGACAACCAAGGUAAAUAAAUGCCCUGGAAGUUCUGUCACUCAUCAUCUGGACUAUGAACUUCAGGACAGACAGUUUUGUCUCUACUUGCUGCAUCAAGCUAUCAGUGUUUCAGUCAAACAGAAUAUAAAAUGCAAAUAAAACAUUAUUUACU